rnacentral:lncRNA from 1 species
CUUUCAUAGUUACAGCAGUACAUUUUUAGGAAAUUGUGGACUUUCAUUCAGCAUACCAGACUCCAUUACAGCACUGCUAAGAAAUCACCUGGAACAAGGGUCAUCCCAAAACAAAAGCAAUUCAAGCAGCCUGUCUGAGAGGAAGAUGAGGAAGGAAGGAAGGAAGGAAGAAGGAAGGAGACUUAUUUCAUCUUCUGUACUGCGGAUCAUUUUGACAUCAUCCCGGAUUAUGCAAUAUAC